AUUGAACACUGGCGGGAUGCUUUACACAUGCAAGUCGAACGGCAGCACGGGGCAACCUGGUGGCGAGUGGCGAACGGGUGAGUAAUACAUCGGAACGUGCCCAAUCGUGGGGGAUAACGUAGCGAAAGUUACGCUAAUACCGCAUACGAUCUACGGAUGAAAGCGGGGGAUCGCAAGACCUCGCGCGAAUGGAGCGGCCGAUGUCAGAUUAGGUAGUUGGUGGGGUAAAGGCUCACCAAGCCAACGAUCUGUAGCUGGUCUGAGAGGACGACCAGCCAAACUGGGACUGAGACACGGCCCAGACUCCUACGGGAGGCAGCAGUGGGGAAUUUUGGACAAUGGGCGCAGGCCUGAUCCAGCCAUUCCGCGUGCAGGAUGAAGGCCUUCGGGUUGUAAACUGCUUUUGUACGGAACGAAACGGUUCUCUCUAAUACAGGGGGCUAAUGACGGUACCGUAAGAAUAAGCACCGGCUAACUACGUGCCAGCCGCCGCCGUAACAC
rnacentral:rRNA from 1 species